AUGCACGCUGGCGGCGUGCCUCAUACAUGCAAGUCGAGCGCACGGACGAGAAGCUUGCUUCUCUGAUGUUAGCGGCGGACGGGUGAGUAACACGUGGAUAACCUACCUAUAAGACUGGGAUAACUUCGGGAAACCGGAGCUAAUACCGGAUAAUAUUUUGAACCGCAUGGUUCAAAAGUGAAAGACGGUCUUGCUGUCACUUAUAGAUGGAUCCGCGCUGCAUUAGCUAGUUGGUAAGGUAACGGCUUACCAAGGCAACGAUGCAUAGCCGACCUGAGAGGGUGAUCGGCCACACUGGAACUGAGACACGGUCCAGACUCCUACGGGAGGCAGCAGUAGGGAAUCUUCCGCAAUGGGCGAAAGCCUGACGGAGCAGCGCCGCGUGAGUGAUGAAGGUCUUCGGAUCGUAAAACUCUGUUAUUAGGGAAGAACAUAUGUGUAAGUAACUGUGCACAUCUUGACGGUACCUAAUCAGAAAGCCACGGCUAACUACGUG
rnacentral:rRNA from 1 species